rnacentral:rRNA from 1 species
GACGUAGGGGGCGAGCGUUGUCCGGAUUUAUUGGGCGUAAAGCGCGCGUAGGCGGCUCGUUAAGUCGGGGGUGAAAACCCGGAGCUCAACUCCGGGCCUGCCUCCGAUACUGGCGGGCUGGAGGCAGGUAGGGGAGAGUGGAAUUCCUGGUGUAGCGGUGAAAUGCGCAGAUAUCAGGAGGAACACCGGUGGCGAAGGCGGCUCUCUGGGCCACACCUGACGCUGAGACGCGAAAGCGUGGGGAGCAAACGGG